rnacentral:rRNA from 1 species
AACGAACGCUGGCGGCGUGGAUUAGGCAUGCAAGUCGUACGCGAAACCGGGCUUCGGUCCGGGAGUAGAGUGGCGAACUGGUGAGUACAAGGUGACUAACGUGCCCUACGAGUGGGGGAUAACCUCGGGAAACCGAGGCUAAUACCGCAUGGUCUUGUGAGUCUGCGGACUUCACAAGUAAAGCAGAAAUGCGCUCGAGGAUCGGGUCACCCCCNCUAU